GCCCAAGUAGCUCAGUUGGUUAGAGCGUUGUUCGAUAAACCAAGGUUGUGGGUUCAAUCCCCGGUCAGGGCA
rnacentral:tRNA from 1 species